UGCGUAUUGCAAUGCGUUGUGUUUAACAUUCUUAGUAGUUUGAAGCUACUAAGAAUGUUAAACACAACGCAUUGCAAUACGCA
rnacentral:pre_miRNA from 1 species